rnacentral:tRNA from 1 species
GGUCCCGUAGCUCAGAUGGACAGAGCAGGAGUUUCCUAAACUCUUGGUCGCGCGUUCGACUCGCGCCGGGACCA